UUGACCUCAAAUCAGGCGGGACUACCCGCUGAACUUAAGCAUAUCAAUAAGCGGAGGAAAAGAAACUAACAAGGAUUCCCCUAGUAACUGCGAGUGAAGCGGGAAAAGCUCAAAUUUAAAAUCUGGCGGCCUCCGGUCGUCCGAGUUGUAGUCUGGAGAAGCGUUUUCCGCGUCGGACCGUGUAUAAGUUUCCUGGAACGGAGCGUCAUAGAGGGUGAGAAUCCCGUCUUUGACACGGACUGCCGAUGCUUUGUGAUGCGCUCUCGAAGAGUCGAGUUGUUUGGGAAUGCAGCUCAAAAUGGGUGGUGAAUUCCAUCUAAAGCUAAAUAUUGGCGAGAGACCGAUAGCGAACAAGUACCGUGAGGGAAAGAUGAAAAGCACUUUGGAAAGAGAGUUAAACAGUACGUGAAAUUGUUGAAAGGGAAACGAUUGAAGUCAGUCGCGUCCGCCAGGACUCAGCCUUGCGUUCUCGCUCGGUGUACUUUCUGGUGGACGGGCCAGCAUCAAUUUUGACCGUCGGAAAAGGAUCGGGGAAACGUGGCACCCUUCGGGGUGUGUUAUAGUCUCCGGUCGCAUACGACGGUUGGGAUUGAGGAACUCAGCAUGCCUUUACGGUCGGGGUUCGCCCACGUUCAUGCUUAGGAUG
rnacentral:rRNA from 1 species